CAGGCGCGUAGCAAGCCAAUUUUUUCGUGUAAGCCCGAUAGGUUACAAUGCUAUAUAUUCAGAUAGCAUUGAUGGCUUGCUCAACUUUCAUGGUGAUCUUUAGCAAAAAUCACUUGUAAGCCCGGGCAUUUCUUCAGAGUCGCUACGCCCCUGUCCUUGCAUGUUAUUGUGUUUUGAUUCUCAGAUGGCUAUAAAUAGUUAACACUGACAGUGUUUUGAUGGCCUCUAAUUACCUGACCGCCUUUGAAACUGGCCAUUUCGUGCUGUUAAAAUGUGCUUAUGUACGUCUACCCCACUCAAUAUGUCAGAUAACUCGUCUGUUUGAGUCUUUUAGCUAUGUCUGCAGUUUAGUCAGUAUAAUGAGGCCAACCUUUCUGUUAUUUCUUUCAUCACGGAGCUGUGAUGGUCUGGAGUCUAUGAUUUGAAGGGGGAUAAAAUUAUAUCAAAAUUUAUAAAUUUAUAAAUAAAUAAACGAACGAACGAACGAACGAAUGAAUAAAUAGUCUUUCGGACACAGAGCAUUUUAUCCAACCUUUACUUUGUAAUAUUUACAUGUUUUAUGUAUUUACAGUGAGUCGUUCGUUCUUCACUUCAGCAUUAUCAACUGCUUUGUUUGCGGAAAAAUUCCUAAUAUUAAAAAACAGUGUUUUUAUACAUUUUUAAAGAAAGAAGUGCAAAUCUGUGAUAUAAGUAAGUUAUCAAAAAGGUUGGCCUUAACAAAUAAGCGUUAAUUUUAUUUCGGAGGAAAUGCACCAAAUUUACCUAUUAGCCCGUUUACUGAUAUAUUCUGAUUUCAUGUUAGCAUGAACUCACGAAUGGUUCGAAAGAAAGAUCCGUUUUGAAUUUAUUAUCUACUUUUCUCAUAUUGUAAAUUCAUGUUGAACAUUUAAGAUGAUGUAGUUUUGUUUUGUUGUUUUGAUACGUACACUUCGUACGUUAACGUGUUCCGUUGUAUUGCGAGUCCGCGUCCUUGUUUGGGUCAGUUGUGAGUACACCUGUCCUUCUCGUGUCUGUAUGAUGUAUGUACAUAGUAGAACAUUACCAGCCUCUACAUCUAACUGUGUGAAACAGAUUUGGAAUAAAUAUUUUCAACCA